rnacentral:rRNA from 1 species
UACGGGGGGAGCAAGCGUUGUUCGGAUUUACUGGGCGUAAAGGGCGCGUAGGCGGCCACCGCAAGUCGACUGUGAAAUCUCCGGGCUUAACCCGGAAAGGUCAGCCGAUACUGCGGGGCUAGAGUGCAGAAGGGGCAACUGGAAUUCUCGGUGUAGCGGUGAAAUGCGUAGAUAUCGAGAGGGACACCUGCGGCGAAGGCGGGUUGCUGGGCUGACACUGACGCUGAGGCGCGAAAGCUGGGGGAGCAAACAGG